CCUGGGGGUCUGCAGGCUGUCUAAGGGGUCCGCAAAAGAUGACAAUGAUCAGACAAAAGUAUGUGAAUACCCAUAACUAGAAAUCACGGGGCCCA